AUCAGUUCCUCCAAACAGAAAUGCACAAAGGUAUUUAAUAAGGGCAAAUUAUUUUUAAAAUAAACGUUAAGUAUGGUCAGGACAGUGAAGCAAUCGCAUAUGCAUUUAAUUUCUGGGAAAACACGAAGAGUACAAACAACUAGCUAGGUUUAUAACUCAGAGGCAGAAACUUGUUUGAUGACAUCUAUUAAGCUUUGAUAGCCGCCUUUUCGAGGCCCUACCCUUCACCACUCCUACUAAUAGCUCCCCCUACUCUUAUCCCAGUACAAUCCAGCUGGUGAAGAGAACAGCGAAAGACUUUGGUCCUGGACUCAAAAAAUAUUUCCCCGACCGCGCUACUUCCUCCAACAGCACCAAGUCUAGCUCCAUCUCCGUCCCCUGCAGAUUCUAGGCUCCAUCUAUCUUUUCAAGUCUCCACCCUCCCUCCCCCACUCCCAGGCUCCACCUCCCCCGACCCUAUCCUUCAGGCGCGCCUCUCCUCUCUCGGACUUUCACAACCACCAGCGACAUCAAUCUCUCGCUUCCUGCUCCACUUCUCGGCGCCCACAUCUCCAACUGGCUCAGGCUCCCCAUGUCCCCAGCCGGUACGGAGCUGCGGUCAGCGGAUUGUGCGGCUGAGCCAUCCUCGUGACGGUCCCGCCUCACUCACCCUCCGUCACCUCCAGCACCUUAAUCUGUUCUUCAGCAGCCGCCCGCACCUCCUGUACUGGGGAUAGGAUCCCGGUGAGCGUAUCCACUAACGCUUCCUUUAAUCCUUGUGCCACUGGACCCGGCAGCCCGGAGGCCGCACCAGCUGCCGCCGCCGCCGCCAUCUUUUCUCCCCUCAGCCCGCCAGCCCCGCGGCCGGGACCCGCCACCGAAUGACGGCCCCCGCGCGCGGCCAAUCCGCGAAGCCGCGCCUGCGCACCAGAGGCGGGCGGGAGCGGGCGGAGGGCGGGGAAUGAAUCUAAGCCUCCAGAGACAGCGCCUCCUGCUGCCUGAACGAGAACUGCACCUUUCUCUGCAAGGAUCUCUGGAUUUGUGUGAAAACUGAGCCCCAGACAGGUUAAGGGGCUUUCCUAAAGUUGCACAAACCCUGUCAUCCAUGGGAGCUUACCACGUGGAUGCAGAAGCUUUUGUGAGGGGCAGCCCGGACCAUCUUUUGGACUUAAUAUACCGAUAUGAAGAUUCAGAUGCAUCUACUCCUCGGUUGGGUGGAAGAGUGAUCCAGGUUGGCAGCCGUCUUGUUGAUGUCCCCUAUGUCAUCCAGAGGGCAGGAGCGGGCAGCUCUCUACCUUGGCAACUGGUUCCUCUCUCUCCAGCUUCAUCUUUUCCAUUGUUUUUUGUUUGUUUGCUUGUUUUUGUUUUUCAUUUUUACCUUUUACAGAUUGAUUUAAACAUUUUUUAAACCACAUGCUUCUUUUUCUGGGCUCCAGCCAGAUCUCUGGGGGAGGAGUUGUUGGCAGUGGUGAUGGAAUUGGGAAGGGUCUGUGAGAAAAUCUGAGGAGCUUCCUGCCUCCCCCAGAUCUCCCUCACAAGACUGUCUCUCUCAGGGUUGCUUGUGAGAAUCAUUUAGGAACUGCUGCAGUGUUUUGAUGUUUUCUGAACCCCUCCCCAGAAAGCCCAGGAGUUUGUAAUUGAAACAAGAAGUCAAGGGAAAGACCCA
rnacentral:lncRNA from 1 species